AGCUAUUUUUUUUUUUACUAGGAUGCCAGUUGCGCAAUCUCUGCAUUCACUAACCUCAUAUCACCUGCUUCUGUCAUGUUCUCCUGUUAGGGUAACUAGCCUGUACCUACAGAGUAAGGACUGGGGAACAUUGUGAACUUUCAUAGCUGUGCACUGGAGAGAGCUGGAGCACCUGUUGCAGCAUUUCCUCCAUUAAAGUCCUUCUGUGAUGUUGUUCGAUUUUCAUGGAAAUGCACGAUCCUUUUUGGAAACUACACAGAACAGCGGAUCAGAAAUGGUGUGUUUUCAAGAUGCCAAUUGACAUUUAAAUACUUGAAUAUUAUUUCAAUAUCAGUGUUUCUCACUAUCUCGGCUUCUAAAUGGCUCAGUCAUGAUUCUGGAGGGCAAGUCUAUAUUUUCUGGGCCAAGAAAUGCAAAACUCAGAAUUAUUCGAGAAUCAGCAUGAGGUGACAAACAAUAGUGCAUUAGACAAUUUAAGUGACAUAUUUCAAGGAGAGGAUGACCACACACUAAGCUUGAAUUAUUUUAUUGUAUUACCAAUGUUUUGACUGCACAGCAACUUUUGCAAGUGUCAAACAAAAGUCUUACAUAUACAUACAUCACCUGGUAGCAACCUGCAAUCAGUGACAUUAUCAACAGGCCUUUUCAUAGCAGACAUUAUCACUCGUCACAGCAGGAAAAGUGCAGGAGGAACCAAUGCUUUUAACGAUGGCUCUGUGUAACAGGGUCAACUGUACAGCAUAUGUAUUAUAAUUACACAAAAAUUGUAAAUAGUUAAAUCCUGACGUGCUACUCCUUCAGGGUCAACAGGUGGAACAUUUAAGGCUCAGUUCACUGUACCCCUACGUUCACUUUUGUGGGUGCCCCGCCGCCCCCCAAAUGAUGUCCCCCGCCUUUACCUCUCCCCUUUUGUUGUCAAACUUCAUGGGAGAGGUAGGUGACGUUGUGCACUCCUUUUUUGAAGUUUGUUUAUCAGUCUGGACUUAUUGUACAGUAUGGUAACACAAUUCUGUUAUUUAAUUUGUGUAGGAGUCUGAGUUAGCGUCACAAUUGACCGGAGGAUAUUUUCUUUUCAUUUACUUCUGUCAGGUACGUUUUCGGUAUUUUUGGUGUGUUUGCUGCAACAUGGCUGCCCUUUUGUUGUCUUACUUCAUGGGAGAGGAGCCUGACCACUGCUCACUUUCCUCGGGUCUCUGCCCUUAUGAAUUCUGAGCAUUCACAACCUGUCCGCCAAACACCCUCAGAUGUCUCCUGCCAGCACACCUGCCCCUUAUUUUUCCCCCAAUGAGUCGAUACCAGCCCCCUUUUCCCCAGUCCGUUGCCAGAUUGUCAAUGUUACUACAUGCCUUUGAGUUCCAGUUGCUUCUACCUGAACCUUUUCUUGUACGUGCUUGCAGCCAUUAUUAAUAUUACUACAGCUGUGCUUUUCCUGCAAUCACAUGUCAAAAUGAAUUCUGUGAAAAAGGCUUAUCCUCUAGUUAAAGGCCCUGCCACCUUAAUGUGACACAAAAUACUUCUUGUUAACUCCUAAAUUUAACCAUUUCUGCAUAAUGACCUUCCUUCGGUUGAUCCAACAGUGGUUUACUAAAUUAUAUUGUAACUUCACAAAUGCUAUGUACUUAGAUAGGCCAACUCACUGGUUCGGCAAAUUUACAGAUUGGCUUAGACUUGCAUUUUUUCCUACUAAUGGAAUUAUUUUUGACGGCCCAGCCCACCCACACAGGUGUUUUCAAUAUUCAGAGUAGCUGUUUAACUCUGCUCAGGUCUAAUUUGGAUGGAGCUAUGCUGGUAAUUACAUAAUGUCAGUUAACAACAGUACUAAUCUUGUAAUAGCUAAAUAAAAGCAGGACCAUUUGUCAAUUUCUUGUAACCAAUUUCUUGUGUAAAUUUGAGUUAAAAGGUCUUUACUAUAUUGUGCAAAAACACAUUGCAGCACCUUAAGAAGAUUGGGGGCCAUUGUAAGUUAAUACUUUAUGAGCUUUGAUAGCACCUGCUAGAUUGCAACUUUGUUACUGUAGUUUUACAAAAUGAUUUUAAAACCAGAGUUAACAUUUUACAUUUAGCACUGUGGUUCUACAUACUUUAGGCCUAUAACUUUGUUGUGAUAGCAUAAUUCAGUAUGUUAACUGCUUAAUUUCCAAAGGCUAUAUGGAUAUUUGUGGGACAAUUUACAUUUGUAGUAUUGUUGUGUUUUUAAGGUUUAAUGCCAUGUGUUCAAAUACACAACUGCAGUGCAAAAUAAAAAGAUUAACUUCCUAACAAUUUUGUUGUUCAAUGAAUUCAUUUUUAAAGCUACUACAUGGAAAGAAAGCUAAAAACUACUGAAGAAAAUCUAAUUGGACCAACUUGACUUUUUACCUGUCAUCCACUUAAAACUUGUGUUCAUAAUUAUGAUAAUUAGGUACACAAUACUUAAAAAUUCCUUUUAAAUAUUGUGGAAAAACUUGUUGGAAAAACUUAUUUUUUAUGAGUUAUCAACUUAAAAACUUGUGUUUAUGCUGCCAAUUAUUAAGUAUGUAGUAAUUAAAAAUAUCUUUGAUUGUAGAGGUAAAACUAAUUCCCCUAACUCAAUGUAGUUUGUUGGUUCAACAUAAAUUUAUCAGGAGUUGUCAUAACUCAAAAAGCUUGAUGCAAACUGUUAUGUUAAUUUUUUUGUUGAGCUAAAGCAUUUGUUUAGAGUGUACUUGUGUGCAUAUUAUGUCUAUUUUAUUUAUUUAUAUAUUUAUUGUAUUUAUUGUAUUUUUUGGGGAAAAUAGACAACUCUGUCCUCAAAUACACACAAUGUCGCAAACCACUUCUUUUCACCUGCCAGUACCAUGCCAGGAGAUUGAAUGUAUGUUCACACUGUCCCAUUAGAGUCCGACCUCCUAACAGGUGCCCGACCAGCUAGUUGAAAGUGACAGUACAAAAACAAGAUCUAGUAGUGUUUGA